rnacentral:misc_RNA from 1 species
UUGAAAUGAUAUGCCAUGCCAUGCCACGGAAAUAGCUUGGAGAUUAAAGCCAAACAAAAAUUUACAGAAAAAGUGGCAAACCCAGAAGAGAACUAAUUACAUGUUAUAAGUUGCCUAUAUUACAAUCUGCACGUUCAAUCCAUCCGACAAACCAUCAAAGAUCAAGGACAGCGAACACAAAACUAAAUGAAGAGAGCCAAAAUGUUAAUCCUAAGUAAAUUGACCACAACAACAUCAUGUUGUUGCUGGCUAACAUUUCACUUUCAAACCCGACUAUUCUGAGGCAACGGCAGAACACCGUCGAAGAAAUCGCCAAAGUAACCGCGCGGUUCAUGGACUAACCUCGAGAUGAUGUCUCUGAGAGUGAUCACUCCUUCCAGAUUGCCAUCGUUGUCGACUACAUACACGCGGUGGAUCUUCUUGGAGUCAAGCAUCAAAAUCAGAUCCUUUAUUGUGUCGUCCUUCUUGCACGUAAUCAUGUUGCUCAGCAUGGGAGAGAACUCUUCAUGCUUCUCUAAGUAGUUUCUAACCGCAGUCAGGAAGUUUUUCGCCGUUAUCGAUCUGUAAUCGUGAUAGAUUUCUGGUGCAGUGAGCAAGAAAUGAAUAUCUCUUAAACUAAUGUUGCCUACUGCCCUACCACCCCUUUCAAUAACAGGUAUACCUCCAACCCUCUUCUUCCUCAUAAGUUUGAAUGCUUGUAGAACAGGCUCGUCCUCGUACACCUUGACAAUAGACGCAGGUGACAUCAUAGGAAGACCGAGCUCGGAAAGCGUCUUUGUUCCCCAUCUUUCAAACCAUUGAAGCCCCGCACAUUCUGCUAACAUGUGAAUCACAGCUGAUUGUGUGAUGAUGUUCUCAAUCUUUCCCUCCCCUAAGUCCACCACUGGUAUGCUCUUCAUUUUGUACUUUGAUAACAGCAAGAGCAUGGUCAAGAAGGAAUUCGACGUCUGCAAAGCAAGAAAUGGGGCCCAACGGAAAGAUCCCGAAAUAUCUCGCACCUGUGUGCUCUUGUACAAUUCAGAGGAAGUUAACGAUUCAAAAAAGCUUCCCGAGGUCGCUGCAGCGGAUUCCGGGCCCAAUACCUGCUGUUCUAAAGGAGAUAUCACACCAUUUGUUGCUGCAGCCAGAGCACUUCCAUCAGUCGGAACCUCCAUCCCCGAGAAGUCCU